CCUACGGGGCGCAGCAGUGAGGAAUAUUGGUCAAUGGGCGCAAGCCUGAACCAGCCAAGUCGCGUGAGGGAUGACGGUCCUAUGGAUUGUAAACCUCUUUUGUCGGGGAGCAAGGCCCGCCACGUGUGGCGGGAAGGAGAGUACCAGAAGAAAAAGCAUCGGCUAACUCCGUGCCAGCAGCCGCGGUAAUACGGAGGAUCCGAGCGUUAUCCGGAUUUAUUGGGUUUAAAGGGAGCGUAGAUGGGUUGUUAAGUCAGUUGUGAAAGUUUGCGGCUCAACCGUAAAAUUGCAAUUGAUACUGGCAGCCUUGAGUACAGUUGAGGUAGGCGGAAUUCGUGGUGUAGCGGUGAAAUGCUUAGAUAUGACGAAGAGCCCCGAUUGCGAAGGCAGCUUGCUGCAGCGGAACUGACGCUGAUGCUCGAAAGCGCGGGUAUCGAACAGGAUUAGAUACCCUUGUAGUC
rnacentral:rRNA from 1 species